UGACCUGAGCCCAAGUCGGAUGCUCAACCGACUGAGCCACCCAGGUACCCCAUCCUUAGAACUUUUAAUUCAAAGUAAAAGAACUUUGCUUCACCACCCGUCUGGGAAUUCCAGGUAAAUAUCUAACUGGACCACCAUGAGCCCUAGCCCAUCCUUGUAGCCAGCAUGUGUGGGCACUGUGACCGACAGCCCCUCCAAACCCCAUGGACCUGGGAAGAAUCCCCCAGGGGAAGGGAGUGGGAGAUGCAAAUUCCAAGAGAAGUAAGGAGGGAGACACUCUAGGCAGACAAAGCCAACACUUCUCUAGAGAGAGGCAUUAUUAAUAAUGAAAAUGGCAACAUUGCUAAUAACUGUGAUUUAUUAUAUACAGGUGCCAUCUAAGCCUUUCACACUGUUUAUCUCAAAGCCAUUCUACAGGUACUAAGGAUCAGAGCCAUUAAGUGACCCAACCAAGAGCAAAGUAAAUGACUGACAAGGAAGAGGCUAAGACUUGAUGGACUAUAAUGGAAAAGGGACAAAUGCAUUGAGGUGAUUUAAACUUAGACCUGCCCACUGAUAACAUGCUUGACUUUUUUUUUUUUCUCAAAAAAAGUGUUGAACUCUGCAGCGAGAAGAUGAAAAGAUGCCUUACGGCAAGGAGAUUGCAAGUCUCAGGAGUUGGAGAAAGGAGGAGGCUGAGUCUUUAGGCCAGAGCUUUUACUGCAUCAGAGAGAAAUGAGGCGCAACUGACAAAUGACCUCUCUUAUAUCAAGAACCCCAAACGCCGAAGUCAAAUAACGGAAAAGGCCCCCGUCAACCUACAACAAAUUUCAAAGCUGGCAGAUUGAAUUUAAACUUUGCAAUAAUUUAUGUUAAUCACUUGAGAAUAUGGAUGUCUAAAUAAUGAAAACUUGCUAUUUAAUGCAUCUGUGUUUGCUUUUCAGUUACUUACUAAGAAGAUAAAGGCCAGUUCUUUCUUCAGGGUUGUCCUCCUGGGUUAGCUGAAAGUCCGCUGAGAUCAGAGACUCAGAAGAGGAAACGAGUAGCAGUAAUGAAGCAACACAUAUUUCGUCCUGUGUGCUGGCAGCCCUUUCAGUUUGUCAGUUUGACUAAUGUGAAGCAGAUGCAGGCAGUUAACUAUAUCAAGAUGUGCCUCGGCACCAGGGGCAGCGGAGGUGAUGUUGCAACUCCGGUCAGAGAGCUAGGAUCUUGCUCCAGCAAGUAUUGAGGAAACCGACUGUGUAUGUUGAAGGCAGAGGAGACAGAAGAAAAUCCUGGUUUGGGGGCUUCUCCCUGUCCAGUGUCAUAACUGCAUGAAAGAAUUUAGCCACUGUUGGCAACAGCUGGAACCGGGCUUCAUCAGGUAGUCUUUUAAAUGAUCAUUAAGUAUAGCAAGCGA